UACGUAGGGACCGAGCGUUGUCCGGAAUCAUUGGGCGUAAAGAGCGUGUAGGCGGCCAAUUAAGUCCUGCGUGAAAUCUCGGGGCUCAACCCCGAGCGGUCGUGGGAAACUGGUUGGCUAGAGUGCGGGAGAGGAGAGUGGAAUUCCUGGUGUAGCGGUGAAAUGCGCAGAUAUCAGGAAGAACACCCGUGACGAAGGCGGCUCUCUGGAACGCAACUGACGCUGAGACGCGAAAGCGUGGGGAGCAAACAGG
rnacentral:rRNA from 1 species